rnacentral:rRNA from 1 species
AUGAUAUUAUAUAUGGUGAUGAGAUUGCACAAUACAACUUGCUAUGGGACUAUGCAAAUGAGCCGAGGAGGUCUAAUCCUGGUACUACUUUCUUUGUUGAACUUUCAGAUGAGGGGCAAUUUCAAAAAUGUUACUUCUCAUUUGACGCAUGCAAAAGGGGGUUCUCAUCAGCUUGUAGGCCCAUUAUUUUCCUGGAUGGCUGCCACUUGA